rnacentral:rRNA from 1 species
AUUGAACGCUGGCGGCAUGCCUUACACAUGCAAGUCGAACGGUAACGCGGGGCAACCUGGCGACGAGUGGCGAACGGGUGAGUAAUGCAUCGGAACGUGCCCAGUAGUGGGGGAUAGCCCGGCGAAAGCCGGAUUAAUACCGCAUACGACCUACGGGUGAAAGCGGGGGACCGUAAGGCCUCGCGCUAUUGGAGCGGCCGAUGUCAGAGUAGGUUGUUGGUGGGGUAAAAGCCUACCAAGCCGACGAUCUGUAGCUGGUCUGAGAGGACGGACAGCCACACUGGGACUGAGACACGGCCCAGACUCCUACGGGAGGCAGCAGUGGGGAAUUUUGGACAAUGGGGGCAACCCUGAUCCAGCCAUGCCGCGUGCGGGAAGAAGGCCUUCGGGUUGUAAACCGCUUUUGUCAGGGAAGAAACGCUCUGGGCUAAUACCCCGGGGUAAUGACGGUACCUGAAGAAUAAGCCACGGCUAACUACGUGCCAGCCGCCGCAGUAAAAC